CUUCUAUUUAAGUGGAACUCCCAUCGUUCAAUCUCUCUUAUCUUCUUCGCAGAUCUGAACUUAUCUGAACUCACUCAUCUUCCUUUUCUCUUCGUUUUUUCGGAUUUAAUCGUUGUUCUCAGGAGCAGCCCUCUUCGGCCCUAGUUUUUGCCCUAGUUUCCAUAAUUUGUUUGUGUUUUCCAUGGAGUUGUUCUGAAAUCAAUGCGUGUGAUGUGAUUUGAUGCUUCAUUAUCUGGUCGGUGUGGAUCUGAUUUGUUCCCACUCGACUCGUUCCCUUGAAGCAACAUCGACCGUGUUACUUUUUCACAAUCUCUCCCUUUGCUUUCUCUCAUAUAGCGUUCGGGAGAACACUGGAGUAGCUACAUCUUCAAUCAAAUCAACGUCUUCUUUUUUAUUCAAAUGCAUCGAAACGAUCUUGUUGAGCAACGGUGAUGAGCCUUUACAGACCUGUAAUGACUUGCGGAUGUGAUCGCAAUUUUUUAUGAACAUCUAAGGGACUGAGUUGCUUAGGUAUUUUUUUUCCCCUUUUCUUUUGAUUUCGAUUCAUCCUCGGGGAUUCGUUAGUGAUCUGGGAGCUUUUUGAAGAUGGAUUCGGGAUUGAUGUUGAUUCAGUUGUGAUUAUGAUGGAACAAAUGGGGAAUUUGGGCGUUCUUUUGAGAAGAUGAGCAGAUUUGAGAUGAUAAA